rnacentral:hammerhead_ribozyme from 1 species
AUUCGACUGAAAAGUGCAGAAUAGAACGAAACACGUGUCCUGGAU